CCAGCAGCCGCGGUAAUACGUAGGGGGCGAGCGUUGUCCGGAAUUAUUGGGCGUAAAGCGCGCGCAGGCGGUCCUUUAAGUCUGGUGUAUAAGAGCGGGGCUCAACCCUGCUGCGCACUGGAAACUGGAGGACUUGAGUGCAGCAGAGGGAAGCGGAAUUCCAUGUGUAGCGGUGAAAUGCGUAGAGAUAUGGAGGAACACCAGUGGCGAAGGCGGCUUUCUGGGCUGUAACUGACGCUGAGGCGCGAAAGCGUGGGGAGCAAACAGGAUUAGAUACCCUGGUAGUCCACGCCGUAAACGAUGAGUGCUAGGUGUCGGAGGGGACUAACCUUUCGGUGCCGAAGUUAACACAUUAAGCACUCCGCCUGGGGAGUACGGUCGCAAGAUUAAAACUCAAAGGAAUUGACGGGGACCCGCACAAGCGGUGGAUGAUGUGGAUUAAUUCGAUGCAACGCGAAAAACCUUACCUACCCUUGACAUGUCCGGAAUCCCGAAGAGAUUUGGGAGUGCUCGAAAGAGAACCGGAACACAGGUGCUGCAUGGCCGUCGUCAGCUCGUGUCGUGAGAUGUUGGGUUAAGUCCCGCAACGAGCGCAACCCUUGUCAUUAGUUGCUACGAAAGGGCACUCUAAUGAGACUGCCGGUGACAAACCGGAGGAAGGUGGGGAUGACGUCAGGUCCUCAUGGCCCUUAUGGGUAGGGCUUCACACGUCAUACAAUGGUCGGGACAGAGGGCUGCCAACCCGCGAGGGGGAGCUAAUCCCAGAAACCCGAUCGUAGUCCGGAUUGCAGUCUGCAACUCGACUGCAUGAAGUCGGAAUCGCUAGUAAUCGCGGAUCAGCAUGUCGCGGUGAAUACGUUCCCGGGUCUUGUACACACCGCCCGU
rnacentral:rRNA from 1 species